GUAUCCACUGAUUCACUGUUCUCUGAAAUGCUUCGUUGGAAUUCAAUUGGAUCCUUUCCUUUUGGUCUAGAUUUGCCUCUGGAAUUUGUGGGUUGUCUGAAUGUGUGGUGCGGCCUUGUCCCCCCCCCCGGUCUCCACUGCAGUGUGUAACUUUUACUUUUGCCUCUCCUCCGUACAGCAUGGAUGUCCAAGGGGACUAUGAACCGUCCGAUGCCACAGGAUUCAUUAACAUCAACUCCUUGAGGCUGAAGGAAUAUCAUCGGCUUCAAAGCAAGGCCAGCUUGGCACAGAAUUGAUGGCGAUCCAGGGACCCCGGGCUCUUCCUCCCCCUCUCGUCUUAAUUCCUCCAUGUGGGGCCACUAAUUGCCAGCGGUAAUUGGUAACUGCUACUCAUCUCCUCGAGCCAAAAGCAUUGUGUGAUUAUUAUUUUGUGUGUGUGUGUGUUAUGCUUCUCAAUGGGAAAUGGGACCCAGAAAAGGUGAUUAAUGGAGGGGGGGGGAAUGUGAGCUAGGAUGCUCGGUGCAGGAGAAUGCUAUUAAAAUAUCUCUCACAUUGUUCCUAACGAAAGAGGCGUCUUUUUAAUUUCUGCCUUUCUUUUAAAAAAUUUUGUUCGUUUGUUUGCAGCUGUUUGCGCAGCUCACGCUUCGCCGGCCCAUGGCGUUUGCCAAAACCGGUCUUUGUAACGGUUUUUAAAGUGCCUCUGAAGGACACCUGAUUUUUUUUUUUUUUAAUGUUGGGAAAUCCGCAUUGUUUCCUUGGGGAAGUGAAAAAAUCAAACGGUGUUUUGUGACGAAGGGGGGAACCAAACCCCCUCUUCGCUUGUGGAACAUUAAAAAGAAAGUGAAGGAAUAAUUGUUCCUUCCCUUUUUUAAAAAUCACAAUAGAAAACAUUGUUUUCGUCUUCGUUUCCAAGGCCUGGUUUAUUGGGUUUUUUUUCUCAUUCGUUUCCUUCCAAAACCUUUCUUUUUUUUAAUCAAAAGGAAUCUUUCGCUUGAUCGAGGCAAUUGGGAGAGAGAACAGGAAAAGAAGGGAAUAUAAUUUUUGUGGAGGGAGACAUGUCGAAUUUUGAAAAUACUCCAUUCAAAGCAUCGCCCUCAGUAGACUCGAGACAGUUUCGUGGAAAGCACUAGGAACGCCAGAAAGAAAACUU